AACGCGAAGAACCUUACCUACCCUUGACAUCCUCAGAAUCCUGCAGAGAUGCGGGAGUGCCGAAAGGAAUUGAGAGACAGGUGCUGCAUGGCUGUCGUCAGCUCGUGUUGUGAGAUGUUGGGUUAAGUCCCGUAACGAGCGCAACCCUUAUCCUUAGUUGCCAACAUGUAAUGGUGGGGACUCUAAGGAGACUGCUGGUGAAGAACCGGAGGAAGGCGGGGACGACGUCAAGUCAUCAUGGCCUUUAUGGGUAGGGCUACACACGUGCUACAAUGGGGCGUACAGAGGGAAGCGAACCUGCGAAGGGGAGCGAAUCCUAGAAACCGCCUCGUAGUCCGGAUUGGAGUCUGCAACUCGACUCCAUGAAGUUGGAAUCGCUAGUAAUCGCGAAUCAGAACGUCGCGGUGAAUACGUUCCCGGGCCUUGUACACACCGUAGUAC
rnacentral:rRNA from 1 species